rnacentral:antisense_RNA from 1 species
CUUGAUGUUCCUGGCUAUGCAGACUCCUUGAGUGAUGCCUGUGGGCGUAUUACAGGUUGGGUGACCAAUCACCCAAUUUGCCUGCGACUGUCCCAGAAAACCUUCCCAGCAUAGCUGGACACCCUCAUUGAAAGGAGGAGGCUGCACUGCUAAGGGGAGGAGGACAGCCUGCAGAUUCAUGCACUGCCUUGCUGGGAAAGCCAGGGACACCCCUCCAUUCCAGGAUGUGCUCCCAGCAAUGCUGUUCUGGAGCCAUCACUUAACACCCAAAAGAAGACCCAGGAAACUCUACAUCUACUGAGAACCUAUGGAGAAACAACCAACACUGCACGCACUGGGAGCCCCUGAAUUUACUGUAUUUUCCUCAAGGCAGAGGAACGCAUUCUCAGAAGCCAAAAGUCCUAGUGUUAUUAUCUCCUCCGCUUGCUGGUUGUGGACCUUGGGCCAGCUUUCAGCAUCUCUGGGCCCCAGGCCCUUCAUGACUCUGCACAAGAUGGGGAGGGUAAAAGAAAAAGAUGCAGAAACCAGUCACUGAGAUGACUUUUAUAAAGCAGUGAGUACAGAGUGUGGUCAUGGCCUUCACAGGAUCCCAGUCGGUGCAAUUCAAAAUGCCAUGAAAGGCCCAAAUGAGAGAGACAAUUGUCUCCAACCUUAAUGUAAAGUCACUUGGAAAGCAAUGGAAAAUUGCAGAUUCGUAGGCUGAAAAAUGUGAUUCAAGAUGCAGAUGUCCUACGGACCUACAUUGAGAAACACCUUUAGAAGC